UGGGGAAUAUUGCACAAUGGGGGAAACCCUGAUGCAGCGACGCCGCGUGAGCGAAGAAGGUUUUCGAAUCGUAAAGCUCUGUCCUAAGAGAAGAUAAUGACGGUAUCAUAGGAGGAAGCCCCGGCUAAAUACGUGCCAGCAGCCGCGGUAAUACGUAUGGGGCGAGCGUUGUCCGGAAUUAUUGGGCGUAAAGGGUACGUAGGCGGUCUAUUAAGUCAGGUGUGAAAGCGUGAGGCUUAACCUCAUUAAGCACUUGAAACUGAUAGACUUGAGUGAAGGAGAGGAAAGUGGAAUUCCUAGUGUAGCGGUGAAAUGCGUAGAUAUUAGGAGGAAUACCGGUGGCGAAGGCGACUUUCUGGACUUUUACUGACGCUCAGGUACGAAAGCGUGGGGAGCAAACAGG
rnacentral:rRNA from 1 species